rnacentral:lncRNA from 1 species
AUUCUUCCUAAUUCUGUUUUUUUGCAAAAUAGACGUUAAGCCUAGUCCAACAAUUAUUUACUCCUACGGAUUUUAGAUCAGCAACUUAUCUAAUAUCCAUGGCUAGUCACUUAAAGUGAAGCUCCUCGCUAAAUUACGCAACAACAGCCACUUCAAAAUUUAAGGCAGCUUCGCCUGUCCAACUUAAAGCGACUGUGCCCAAGAAUCUUGAAACAAAACAAUUCUAACAAGAUUUCUUAGCACCGUAGCAACGUGAGAUUUUGCGAUUCUAAAAGAGCCAGGUAUAAUCUUUCUCAAGAAUAUCAUACGGACUUUUUCUCCACUUCGAUCCGCCGUUACGAGUUGUCGCAAUUGACGUGUGUUGGAAGGAUUGUCAAAAGAAUCGACUUAGGUAUGUUAAGGCUAUCUUCUUUCUUUUGGCAUGAUCUAUACGACACAAACGAAACGAGAAAAUGCACAACUUUCAUAAAUGACUCUAUAGAAGUAUUAGAGGUGCAUAUAUUCUUGAAUUUUCAUGUGUCAUAUUAUUCUAUCAUUUAUUUGUGGGUCUCAGAAAAAUACGUAAGUUGGAAAAAAAAAGUUUACUUCAUGAUAUUACUCGAAGGUAUAAUGGUCUUAUGACAUUCCAAGAGAUUUUAUGGACGUACUUCUCAUGCAUUGCAUUCAUGUACAUUGACUCAUGAUCAGAUGGCGUUAUAUAUGCGUAUAUAUGUAUAUAUAUGUAUAUGGAAUAUGGGAAAAGGUUAUGGCGUUAUAUAUGCAGUACCACCUGAUCAGCUGAUAUACGUUGAUGAUUUGUCCACUCUGGCCGAGAUGAUAUGUUGGGAUGCCCUCAGAGGCUUGAUGAUGUUAUAAACGCAUAUACCCAUGCAUGGUAUGACAUUUAUACGCAUAUGCACGACAUUAUAAUAUUAAAUGAUUCACAGAGUUAUUCAUAUAUACAUGUUGAGUCUUUUACUCCAUGUUUCUCUCAUGUCUACUAGUUACUGAUUUUCAUUCCUUACAUACUCGGUACAUUAUUUGUACUGACGUCCCUUUUGUCUGGGGACGCUGCGUUUCAUGCCCGCAGAUCCUGAUAGACAGGUCGAGAGUCCUCCAAGUAGGCUAUCAGCUCAGCGGAAGGUGUUGGUGCGCUCCAUUUGCUCCGGAGUUGCUUCUUUGGUGAGUAUGAUUAGUACAUGUAUUGAUUGGUAUGUCGGGACCCUAUCCCGACCUUUAUGAUAUUAUGUAUUCUUAGAGGCUUGUAGACAGAUGUCAUGUAUACGGGUACUUGUAUGGCCUUGUCGGCCUAUGUUUUGUGUAUAUACAGAAACAUGCCGGUCUUAUAGGCCCGUACUUCAUAUGUAUAAGUUUGUAUUCCCUUAUUCUUUACUCUGGUUCAUUUACCUAUGAUAAAAUGAUAUGAAAGAUACGUUAUGUUGGUACUCGGUUGAAUAAGGUACCGGGUACCCGUCGCGACCCAUCGGUUUGGGUCGUGACACUAUUUUUGAAUGACCAGUCCAAAAACUGGCUAGCCCGUGCUAUUUUUACCUCUUUAACACUUUAGAGCCUCACAAAGUAAAUUGUGCCACAUGUAGGGCCCACCUAGUCCUUUAAUAUUGCAUUUAUGAAAUGGGCCCAAUAGUGAGGUCCACAUAGUCCUUUACUAGUUACCACUACUCGUAUGAAAC